GUUUUGAUAAAUUUCCUCCAUUGUUGUUUAGAUUGAGCUCCAUAUGAUCUUUAGCAUGCGUUGCGCUGACAUCCACCUGCCGACAUACGUGUCGCUUGUUAACGCAAAGUAAUUUGCCGAUAUUACCUGCAUAAAAGCGCCAUCGCUGGUGGUUUUACCUGGAUACCUACAGUGUUGCCCCAUGAUGUUUGCUAAAGAAAUGCUCCAGGCAAAAGUGAUACACUGUGCUAUGCCUAUGGCUAGGGGCGAAGCAUGAUACAAGAAAUAAAAGAGCAAUAAGACAUGGCUCCCACAGGUCCUGCAGUAGGAUUAACACUAUGUAUGACUUACAGUUGCCUGAAGUGAUACUUUAAUGCAUUAAAGUGUCAGACUAAUCAUGGUGGUGGAUUCGCUGCUCAAAUCCCCAUGAAAAUGCUUUGCAAGCAAUGUAAGGGGCCUGCUGAAAUGAAUGGGCUUCCAUUGGUGUUACUACACUCUUGUGAUCUUUUGUGAUAAGAGAUGUCAACUCACAGACAUCGCUUUUCUGAGUGCAGCCCCC